CUACGGGUGGCAGCAGUGGGGAAUAUUGCACAAUGGGGGAAACCCUGAUGCAGCAACGCCGCGUGAAGGAUGAAGGUCUUCGGAUUGUAAACUUCUAUCAGAUGGGAAGAAACAAAUGACGGUACCAUACUAAGAAGCUCCGGCUAACUACGUGCCAGCAGCCGCGGUAAUACGUAGGGAGCAAGCGUUAUCCGGAUUUAUUGGGUGUAAAGGGUGCGUAGGCGGCCUGGUAAGUUAGAAGUGAAAUUUCGGGGCUCAACCCCGGAGCUGCUUCUAAAACUGCUGGGCUAGAGUAUAGGAGAGGAAAGCGGAACUCCACGUGUAGCGGUGAAAUGCGUAGAGAUGUGGAGGAACACCAGUAGCGAAGGCGGCUUUCUGGACUAUUACUGACGCUGAGGCACGAAAGCGUGGGGAGCAAACAGGAUUAGAUACCCCGGUAGUC
rnacentral:rRNA from 1 species